CGCGCAGGCGGGUUAACAAGUCAGAGGUGAAAUCCUACAGCUUAACUGUAGAACUGCCUUUGAAACUGUUAAUCUUGAGUGCGGAAGAGAGAGACGGAAUUCCAGGUGUAGCGGUGAAAUGCGUAGAUAUCUGGAAGAACACCAGUUGCGAAGGCGGUCUCUUGGUCCGUUACUGACGCUCAGGCGCGAAAGCGUGGGGAGCAAACA
rnacentral:rRNA from 1 species